rnacentral:tRNA from 1 species
AUCCCGUUCGUAUAGCGGUCAAUACACUAGAUUCUCAAUCUAGCAACAGGGGUUCAACUCCCCUACGGGAUAC